rnacentral:rRNA from 1 species
UACGGGGGGAGCAAGCGUUGUUCGGAUUUACUGGGCGUAAAGGGCGCGUAGGCGGUCAGCACAAGUCAGUUGUGAAAUCUCCGGGCUUAACUCGGAAAGGUCAACUGAUACUGUGCGACUAGAGUGCGGAAGGGGCAACUGGAAUUCUCGGUGUAGCGGUGAAAUGCGUAGAUAUCGAGAGGAACACCUGCGGCGACGGCGGGUUGCUGGGCCGACACUGACGCUGAUGCGCGAAAGCCAGGGGAGCGAACGGG